rnacentral:lncRNA from 1 species
UAUCUUAAAUUUUUUUAGGGUAAACUUUAAAUACCAUUCCUAUGAUUUCGUACUUUAUCACCUUUGUACUAUAUGAUUUAAAAUAUAUCAAGUUAGUGUCCAGUGGUUUUAUUUUUAUUUUUUCGUCAGCUUUUUCAUUAAUAUUUUAUUAAAUUAUAUACAAAAAAUUUCAGAUAUCCCACCUAAUUUAUCGAAUAUUCAUUUUAGUACCCUUUAAUUUUAGUUUUGUCACUGAUUUAAUAAAAAUAUUAGUAAAAUUGAUAAUAAAAAGAUAAAAAUAAAAUCCUAGCGCAAGGGGCAAAAGAGCUUGGUAGUUGGUACCCGAAAUUCAAGUUCGAAUCCUAAUUAAUUCACAUUUCUAGCUAAGUUUAUUUCUGAAAACAAAGUAGGUAAUAUGCUACCUUUCUCUCCAAAAAAAAAAAAAAAUCGUAUGGUACAAAAUUAAUACACUUUAAAUUAUAUGGUAUUAAAAUGAGAAACUGUGAAACUAUAGGGUGAUAUUUGAAGUUUUUUUUUUUUUUACUUAAAUUUUAUGUUAAAAUUUUAGUAUGUUG